AUUGAACGCUGGCGGCAGGCCUAACACAUGCAAGUCGAACGAGUGGCGGACGGGUGAGUAAUGUAUGGGAAUCUGGCCUAUAGAGGGGGAUAACUACUGGAAACGGUAGCUAAUACCGCAUACUAUCGGAUGAACCCAUAUGGGAUUAGCUAGUUGGUGGGGUAAAGGCUCACCAAGGCGACGAUCGCUAGCUGGUCUGAGAGGAUGAUCAGCCACACUGUGACUGAGACACGGCCCAGACUCCUACGGGAGGCAGCAGUGGGGAAUAUUGCGCAAUGGGCGCAACCCUGACGCAGCCAUGCCGCGUGAAUGAAGAAGGCCUUCGGGUUGUAAAGUUCUUUCGGUAGCGAGGCGGUAACUACAGAAGAAGCACCGGCUAACUCCGUGCCAGCAGCCGCGGUAAUAC
rnacentral:rRNA from 1 species